UCGUUGUGCAGUAUGUAUCAC
rnacentral:piRNA from 1 species